rnacentral:lncRNA from 1 species
UCUCUCUCUCUCUCUCUCUCUCUCUCUCUCUCUCUCUCUCUCUCUCUCUCUCCUCAUUUUUUCGCAACACGAAGGCACGAUUGUCCAAUCGUUAAUUUCAACUUGGAAUAAAUAGCUCCGAAUGACACGCGACAACGUUAAUUAAAAGUGACGUACCUGAUAGUAAAAGGGUAUCUAUCGCAGCGUGUUUGAAAGAAAAAAAGAAAAAAGGAACGAGACAGAGAGAGAGAGAGAGAGAGAAAUAAAGAUAAAAGAGUGAAAAGAACCAUAAUGGAAAUAUUUAUGUAAGUCUACGCGAUGAAUUUUCAUCAUUGCCGCAGGGAUGUAAAAUGCGCCGGAUGUUCUGUGUAAAAGCUGUGCGCGCGCUUUCCGGCACUAUCUGGCAAAAAUGUUUUUGAUGAAAAAAAAGCAAAAGCGAACAAUGAGUUGAAGAUAGGAAGUGGGAAUGAGACAAGAGAAGCGUGUAUCGACGACAGAUAAAAUAGUUCUAAGUACGAAAGAGCGAUCUUUCUAGAGAAUGCGAGUUUCGUUCAAAUAUUCGAGACUAUAGUGAUUCCUCGUGUCGAUGUUAGAGCUAUCUCUUCUUUUUACCAUAUUGUUUAACGAUUUACAGAUUAAUAAUAAUUAUUAACAUAUCGAUUAAGUCAAUUCGCAUAACGCAUACAAGGAAUAAAGCAUAUUUUAAAAUGGUAAUAAUAAUUUAUUUGUUAUUUGUAAGUUGCUAGUUGCAUAUAAAACUAAAUAUCGACGAAAUUUAUAAUUCUACAAAAGAACGAGCACUAGAUCAUCAUAAAAUUUGGUUCCCUUUUGAUGAAAAACCAAUUAAUUUAAAAAUGUAUGUUUACUGUCGUAUAAUAUGUGCAAAUUAUUCAUUAAAUUCUAUAGCAUUUUUUUUACUAGUAAAAGUAUCGAAUUAAAAGAAUGCCAUACAUAUAAAAUUUGAAUGGAUUUAGAGAAAGCAAUGUAUAGAGAGAAAAGACGAUAGAUGUAUUUAAAAAAUUGCAAAAAUUCAUGUUAUAUAUAGAUUUUUGUUGUAAAUAUUAUAUAUAAAAGGUUAAGUUGAGAUGCAUCCGAUUUUUUUCUCAAUGAACUUUAAUAGUAUUUAUUAAAGUUUAUUAUUAAACGAGAUACACAUAUAAAACCUUCGCGCAAGAAUUGCACAUUUAUUUGAUAAUAUAAUAAUUUAUUUGAUUAUAAGGAACAUUACGAAGAGUAAGUAAAGGCCGUAAAGGGUAUUUAAAAUGCGGUUUUAUCCUGUACGUUAUUUUAAGAAAUUAGUUGCUAUAUCAUACUUAUAUCGACAUCGACAUAUGUAUGUGUCAUACAUGUGUCUUUACAAGAAUUAACUUCGAUGAUUGGAGUUCCUUUUUCUUAAAACGAAUAUUUUACUUUGCCUCGUGUCGCCAACUGAAAAAUAAUGCGCAGAAACGAAACAUCAAAAUGCGCCGGCAUGCGAAGGUCUCAUCCUUCUCUGUGACGCAAUAGAAAGUAGAGCCGCAAGGCUGUUUCCACUGCCGCGUAGUAUUUUAUAAUAGAUUAGUAUAUACUUUUUCGCUUAUUUAGUUCUCAAAAAUUCGGACUUAAAAUUCAUUAAUGAAGAAACAUAUAUUGAUAUAAUCGAAUAUAUUAAAAGCACAAGAAAUUGUACUUCAAUUGAUAAUAUAUCGUUAUAAUUUUAUUAUCAUCAUAUAUGUACACACACACACACACACACACGCGCGCGCGUGCGUGCGUGCGUGCGUGCGUGCGUGCGUGCGUGCGUGUGCAUGUACUCUAAUAAAAACAUAAACUAAUAGUUAUAAUGAAGAAAGGAAGAUUCUAUUUCAUGAUUGUUAUAGUUCAUGAACAAUAUUAGCCAAAAUUGAAUAGUCGCGAAUUAAGUAUUUACCCUAAUUUUGCCGCACACUCUCGAUCAUGUUUUUACAAUGAAAGGAUUUGCGAAAUGAGAAUCGUGAUUUGCGUAUGCGUGUUGCUUCGCAAACCUAUAUAGUUUAUUGUACGUUACUAUUUCAUAGUGAGAUAAUUGCAUUACGGAAAAGAAUAUAUUGUGAGAAUUGCUUGAUGCUGUGGGAUCGAUAUUCCGUGUCGUAUAUUUAGCGACUGACACAAGAGCGACUCUGAAGACUCAAGAUUGGCUACGUGAAGAUACAUCGCUCGUUCCAUCUGUCUUUUGAAUAAUUGAAUUUUUUCUUCCGCUUUUCUAGCUUUCUUUUACUACAGUUUUAAGGGGCAACGUUUUAAGCUCAACGUGAUGAUGAGGAAGAAAGUAGAGAGAGAGAGAGAGAGAGAGAGAGGGGGGGGGGAGAUGGAUGGCAUAUACACGAUAGUUUAUUAUGGCCGCGUUAUGCGCGUACACGCCGGCAUGCAGAGGCGGAGUUGCGAAUCAAUAACUCGUGUUAUAAGGCAUUUCGGUAUGGCAAUAUCGAUUAUGUACACCGGUUAUGCGGGCCGAAGGUGUCCGAAGACGAUGACGCGCGGGACAUAAAUGCGGCGGCGGUUGCUGAUGUAAUGUUGCAACAUGACACGAUGAAAAUUAUGAUUACACGCGGGAGAGCAAGCGCACGCGGGGAACGCGUGCGACGAGCCGAGAAACCGCUUUUUGGACGCUCGAUGAUUUAGAUGGAGAUCGACAAAAAAGUGUUGCCUUUAUCCCACUAGGGAUAAAAACGCACGUAUGCGUUUAUACGAAUAACGCGAGCAUGUACAAUGAAAUAAAAUCUGUAGAUCGAGGAAAAAGGAGAAGAGAAAAGGAGGGAAUAAAAAAACAUCUCAUAAAUAUCUAACAGUUCAUCACACAAAUAAUGUAAUUUUUUAUAAAAAAUGAAUUGCGGAAAGACACUAAAUGCCAAGUCAUGUAUCGUAAUGGAAAGCUAUGUUUUAAAUCAGUUUACGAUUAUUAUUGAUUAUUUAUGUAAUCAUAACAAGAUAGUUAUAUGCUGUAAAAUCGGUCAUGAAUGAAUACGUUCAAAAAGGGUUAUGAGAUACUCGUGUUAUAUUCAACGGCGAAAAAUAAAUACGAUCUGGCGUGUUUCGCUUCUGCACGUCGACGCGACGUUGACUUAACGUGAAUGUGAAUCUGCCUUUAUUCGGAUCUCUCGACGAGUUCUUCCGUGCCGCCGCCACACAGAACGGAGAUAUCCGUAACCGACGAAAUUACGUAACGCGACAUGACUCGAUGAAAUCACGAUUACACGCGCGUACGUACGCACAUACGUUGCAUGUAGAUGCAUAUGUGGGAAGAAGAUAGCACAAAAUCCCUCGUGAUUUACGUACUGUAGUACGCGUGUGAUUAUUAUGUUCGAAUCGAUGAAUAUAUAAUAUAACUGAGGAGCAACGAAAUUAUUAUUCAUCUAAAAUGAUGAGAGAGAGAGAGAGAGAGAGAAAGAGAGAGAGAGAGAGCUUUAUAAAAGAUGUUUUUGAAAAAAGAACGCAGCUUCCUUUUCUACGUAUGUAACACACAAAUUUAUAGCGUUUUCGACCGGCCUGGUUUAAUCGCUCCGGGAGCGAUUAAUGACGUCAUAAGGCCAAUCACAGCCAUUCUUCUGAAGAAGGGAAUAACUGUGAUUAGCCAGUUCUAGAAGAAUAAGAACCUGAGAUGGAUUAACCCAACUCGGUUUUACCCGGUCGAAAACGCUAUUAUAUAGGGCCACGAAAUCUAAGCGACAUUCUGCACGUAAGGUAAAAUGUUUUAUCUCGCGACGUUAUGGUAAAUCGCGAACAACAGCACGUGUUUUCGCAUACGUGCAGUAUAUAGUUCAGCUAAUACUAUUGAUUGUCUAGAAGAUCUUAAUAAGAAGUGGAAAAAACGGCACUUUCAUCAGCGCGAGACUUUCUCGGAGAAUCCUUUUUCAUGGCGCGCUCCCGUCGCGUCGUCUCGCGAUCUGUUGGCUGGCGAACAAAAGAAAAUGCCGUAAAAUAUUUCGUCGUAUCGCCGACCAAGCGUGCGUACUUCAUGGUAUUUUGUUGAUUUCGCAUUUGCGGAAUAGAAAAUGUCAUUGGAUCUCAAAUUACGAAGUCUCGAUCGUUGAUGGGAGACUUACGUCUUCUUCAAACGUUCUCUCUUUUCAAACACGAGCAACAAAAGAAGAAGUAGAUAAAGAUUCGCAUGAUGGAAAGAUAGUAAGCUCUCCAGUAAUUCUAAUACUGACAAAAUUAUUCUCAUUGAGUACGUUUUUAUAUGAAAAAAUCUGACAAAGAAAAGCGUUGCUUUGCCCUGCGAAGCAAGAUUUUAAGAAUUGAAAAGUGGAGAUGACUGGUACAACGCGUAGAACGAUACGAAAAGGCGUCCUCGCACACUUUUCUUUCCAUUUCAUCGAGAUUCGUUCAGCAUUUAAUCACGUAAUUAGUUUACGUCAUCGUAUAAAACGUAUGUUUCGUUGUAACGUAGGUAUACAAAGCGAUAUUUUGUAAUACGUUUAAUUAAACACAAGCAGUGUUACCAAACGCAAAUUUAGUUAUUAAUAUCUUUGUAAGGUAAAAAGUACAAAGCGCUUUUGUAUGCCACAAAAGCAAUUGUUUUGUGUGUGACUUGAUAUCAAAUCGAUCGUAAAUAGGCUAUCUAUACGGUGGUCUUGUAGAGGAGUGGAUGAGAUGGGAACGUUGUCGUUGAGAAAGGACUAAUGAAAAGGAGGAUUCCCGAAGUUGGGUCAAUGGCGUCAAUCCCAGGGGCGUGUAACUCUGUCGAGAUUCAACGACGUAGAUACACAUCGACGAUCCCCGCUCUCUUUUUCUCUGAGUAUUCUUUUAAUGCGAAUGCGGAUUUACUUUCUGUCGGAAAAUAAAAGAGUCUGACAAUUAUCGAACUUUUCAUCCACAAUGGCAAAAAAAAAAACAGCGCGUCUCGACAACGGCUAUUAAAAUUAUACAAAUUUCGAUAUAAUCCCGACAAACGAUGCAUGUAAUUUACAUAUAAUAUUGAAAAACUCAACUGCGCGGGCGAAACGCCUUGUUUGCGCGAAUUUCGAGCACGAACGAUCAACGCAACGGUGCAACGAUAAUUUACGAUUCAAUUCAGCAAUAUUAAUUUUUUUAUUUCCCAUUGCUGAAUAUGACUUAUAUUCGAAUUACGUGUACAACUCACGUUUGUAAAUAAAUCCUCGAUUCAUAUACAGUAAAAAUAAGUGUGUUCGGCGUCAUCGUGUUUAAUUAUUGCCGCACGAUUCGAUAUGUCGCGUCGAAGCGAAUAGUUGGAAGCCUCCGUAUUAAAUAUUUUCUGCAAAGAGAAUCUGCAAAGCGCAGAAUCUCUCGUCGGGCGACUUUCUGUACCGUCAAAGUAAAUUUGCAAACGCGCCUUUGCAUCGUGCUUGUAACCGCUGGACUAUACGGAUUAUAAAGCUGCCUAGAAUAAACAGGUCUUGAAAAAUAUUUUCGAGAUUGUUUCAAAAGAGUAAAUAUCUCAAUAUUUAUACGAGAUCAAAAAAUGGUGCGUUUUAAAAUAACCGCGCAAUCUGUCAAAUAUUGAUACAACCAUAUUGUCUAGAAGCAAUGAUUUUUUAAAUAUGUAUCACACGAAAAAGUAUUGUAUGAAAAAUGAAAUGUUUAAAAGAUACUAGAAUAACUCCCAAAUCUAAUUCAUUUUACGUAUCGGUUAUUCAACCGUUUAUCGCGUGGAAACAGUACUGCAAAUAUCUACAUUACAUUACUUGUAAUCCUGUUACUAAAACACUGCAUUGGUCAUAAUCUCGAUAACGGCACGAUGUAGAACAGUGAUUUUUAUUAAAAAAAGGGAUUCACGCGCGCGGUUAAUUCAUCUACUCUGGAGAACAUAUUAUCUCUCAUGGAGAAACCUCAUAUUAAACUCAUAUUAAACAAAUGAAAAUAUAAAUGGGAUCAAAGACAGUAACGUUGCGUGUUUACCAAUGACUUCCAUGAUUCAUUAGAAUUAAACAAUAAAUUUCUUCUGUAAGUAAUUGCGUGGUCGACAUCGAAAAGGCAUAACGUGUCCGCAAAAUUAUUAUAUCGAUUGAUCGUGUGAUCAUUAUGAAUGAAAUUACUAUCGUAUGUAUACAUAUUACAUAUACAUACGUAUAUAUAUUUGCAA